rnacentral:rRNA from 1 species
UACGGGGGGGGCAAGCGUUGUUCGGAAUUACUGGGCGUAAAGGGUUCGUAGGUGGCCAACUAAGUCAGACGUGAAAUCCCUCAGCUUAACUGGGGAACUGCGUCUGAUACUGGUUGGCUUGAGUGCAGGAGAGGAACGCGGAAUUCCAGGUGUAGCGGUGAAAUGCGUAGAUAUCUGGAGGAACACCGGAGCGGCAGAGGCAAUCCCCUGGACCAUGUACUGACGCUCAGUGCAACGAAAGGGCAGUGGGGGAUCAAA